AAGACUAAUGGCCUAUGCCAGAUUAUGCUAGAAGCUUCUCCCAGAUUCUGGAAGGCAGCCAGGUAGUACUACUUUCCAAAAGAAUCAGUGCUCCUUCAUGAAGAGGUGAAAUGGGAAGCCAGUAGCAUCCCCCAAUGGGACAAGUUACCACAUUAAUUUUAGAGCUGUGGCAUUCAUCUUAAAGCAUUUCACCUGCAAGAUCACAGCUCUGGGAGAAACCGUUGUCCCCAUUUUACAGAAGAAGGUGAUAUUCAAAGACUUUAACAGGGAUUGAAAUGGUAGAAGGCAACUUCAAAUACAUAUCUUCUGACUACAGAUAUCUGCUUUUGAUGGUUACCCCCUGCUACGUGAUUCUGUAUACAUCAGACUCAGUAUUUUCUCUUUGGUGGAUGUUGUCUUUGUGAGUUAGAGGUAAUUAUGAUAAUAGUAAUGUGCAUAUUGGGGGGCUGUGAGGAGUCGCACAGACAUAGACAUGAAAGUGCAUUGUAAAGAAACAGUGCAGUGCAAGGAAAUGAAUAUUGUUAUUCAAAUUCCUUCCACCUCAUCUUCUCUUCCCCUUCAAAUAUAUCCUCAGCAGUAACCCUCCCGCCUGCCUCUUCCUACCAGGUUUAUCACCUGAGUGAAUAGAAUGAGAACCACCAUCUGGGGCUGUGCAGUGGGGAUUGCCAUCAAUAGUUUGCAAACCAGUAAGCUGAGGUUUAGCGAAAUGUCUUUUUUGGGCUAAUAAACCCAGUGUUUGGUGGAACCCGCAUUCUCUCUGCCUCCGGCUGUGACCACACAGAAUCCCAGGACAGCAGGAAUGGAGCCUGGACUCUGGAACUCAGAGUUCAUCCCCGGGAGAGCCCUCACUCACCACUCUACCUCACCUCUCCGUUUUGGUGACCUCUGGGCCUCUCAUACCCUGAGGGUUCUAGAGGGAGAGCCACCUCAGGUAUGGUCACGUCUUAUUUAUACACAUCACCAUCUCCCCAGUGGCUCUAUGGCAGGGCGAAUGGAGAUAUUCUUACCAUGUGAGGCCCAGGAAUGGAGUUAUAUGAGGGCUGUUUCCCUGAAUGGCACAGAGAGGCCCACCGAAAUGUCUUCACAUAUGGGUUGGGCAGCAGCGACUGGUUGCUGGAGCCCUGGUGCCAUGCUCCUCAAAGUCCAUGGGGAGGAGAAUGGUUUCUCAAAGCCCUCAUCUGAGAAUCUCAGCCACCUUAGAGGGAAAAACCUCACAGGCCUUAACCUUCUAGGAAUCUGGAAUGAUGGAGAGAACUGGACACUGGGCUCCAAGCUAGGGAAUCUAGAUUUUAGGGUUGAGUGAAGUUUCUGGGGAGAAGCUGCACUUCUCCGAGCUACAGUUUUCUCAUCUGAAAAAUGGGUAUUUCUGAUUCAUUAAUUCAGAAAGUUUGUAAUAAGCAAUGAGCAAGUACAGUUCUAGGUAUGGGGGUACAAUGGUGAAUGAGAUAGAUGAGGUCUUGGAGGCUGAUAAUAACUCGGGGCCAAUACAACAGUGAAGGGGGCAGAUGGCUUAUAAAAAAUUAGACAAGAAGAAUGUUAUAUAGUGAUGAGCACUAUAAAGAGAAAUAACAGCACAGUGUGAUGACUUAGGGGCUACUUUAGUUUGGAGUGGGUUAGGGAUGACUUCUCUGAACAGGUGACAUUUGAAUGAGGUCACAAUGACAAGAACGAACCAUCCAUGCCAAGAUCCGAAGCUGGGCAGUGAGAAAAUAGAAGGAAUGUUGCAGGCAGAGGGCAUGGCCUGGGCACAGGCCCAGAAGUAGACACAUUUGGGUGGAGUCAGGCUGUUGCAGCCCAGUAUGGUGAGAGAGAGAAGCAAGUUUAGAGGAAAGUGGUAGAUGAGAAAGAAAGCCAGUAGGGGCCAUAUCUUCUUGGGUCUCACAGGCCCUGGUAAGAAACUUCUGUCUCAUUUCUGUGUGAUGGAAAGCCAGAGAGUUUUAAGCAGGAGAUGGGCCUGGCCUUGGAAAUGGAAAUGGCAGUAUCUCUCUGGCUGCUGUUGCAGAAUAGCGUUGGAGGGCCAAGAGUAGAAGCCUGGAGAUCAGUCUGUGGCUGUUCAUUGCAGUAGUUUGGGCAAUCAAUUACAGUGCCUUCGUCUAUGGUGGAGGUAAAGAGAGAUGUCAGAUUCAAAUGUAUUUGGUAGGGCUGGCGGAAUUUGACAAGGGAUUGGAUGAGAGGCAGUGGGAGAGAAUCCAGGACGGUACCUGGUUUUAGGAACUACCUCAUAGUCAUCUGAUGAGGAUUGACCUAGAUAAUGGAUGAACAGCGCUUAGCACAGUGCCAGGAACUUAGCAAAGGGUCAGUGCAUUUUGAUCUUCUUCAUUAUUUCUAGUCCUGGCUCUGUCCUGGCUCUGAUGUUCAGUUGAACUUUGAGUAAGUGCCUCCCUGGUCCUCAGUUUCUGCAUGUAUACAAUAUGGCAGACCAUGUAUUCAUUCAUCCACUCCACAAAUAUUUAUUAGACAUCUAUGAUACAGUAGGCUUUAUGCUGGACACCAGGGAUACAGGAUGAAAAACACCAAACAGGGUCUGCCCUGGGACAGCUCGCAGUAGAGUAGAGAAGAAACAGUUACAAGUCCUUGGGAGGGUCAGGAAGGAGCCAAAGGUAGGCAGGCCUUGCCCAGGUAUGUGUCCAGGGAAGGCUUCCUGUAUGGAAUGACAUUUAACUGGAGGUCACAAGAAUGAGUAGGAGUUGGCAAGGGGCGAGAUGGGAAUGGGUGAAGUGGCAUGGAGUGAGCUGGGAAAGGGGAAGUGUCAGGGUAGCAGCAUGAAUGAAGUACUUGAAGAUGAACGAGCAUGACGCUCUCCAUUGCCAAUAUUCUAAGUGCAUUACUGCCCAAACAUCUCAUGUUUGAAAAACCAUGGAAAGAGGGGGCACCAGGACCCAUCAAAUGCAGAUGGGGGCAUUUUCAAGUUAUCUGGGCAACCCAGGGUUUGUUUACAUUUUUUAAAAGGUUAGCUACUAACAGUGAAUGCUUGGUGGUCCUUUUGGGAAGAUCUGACCUCUAGUUUUAUUUUGCUUAAUUCCUUUGCUAAGAUAGUUUAUCAGAGGUUCUUAAAAAAUUUUUUUUUAAUGUUUAUUUAUUUUUGAGAGACAGAGAUAGAGCACAAGAGGGGCAGAGAUAGAGGGAGACACAGAAUCUGAAGCGGGCUCCAGGCUCUGAACUGUCAUCACAGAGCCCGACGCGGGGCUCGAACUCAUGAACUGUGAGAUCAUGACCUGAGAUGAAGUCGGAUGCUUAACCAACUGAGCCACCCAAGCACCCCAGUUUAUCAGAGGUUCUUAAAUGUGGCUUCACAUUGGCAUUACCAGGAGAAACUUCAGAGAAAAUGCUAUUUCCAGGCCCUACCCUCAGCAUUCUGAUUCAUAACCUGUUCUUGAUGUGCAUCCAGGGUUGGAUAUACUAAUGAGGGGACUAUACUCUAUUGGUUCUGGAACAUGUUCUGAGUUCUGUCUUUGUAUACAACCGGACCACCAAAAGUUACUGGGCCAUAUCCUUGAUAAUGAUAUUAGCUUCCUAAUGAUCAAAAAGUUUGGAAUUAUGAUUGAAUAUCUUUCCCUUGGUGUUUAUUGAGGACAGAUUCGAGAAGCAGCCAUCUUCAAAAUAUCUUUGCAUUUGCUGUAAAACUAUUUUCAAUGGUAUCACAGUAUUCACUAAAUAAAUUUGUUUUAGAAUUUGUCUUAAAAAUUGGUAUGCCUUCCCCCGGACAAUAAGAAUUAAGUAAUCUAACAUAUUUACCUUUUUGCCUUGGCUGUCAGGAAACUCAGAGUCAAAUCUGAAGCCUAUACAAUAACUAUACAAACUGCAAGAUAGCCUACCUCUUUCUUAUGGUUUCAAUUCCACGUUUCUAGUUUAAUACUAUUAUCAAGUAUAUAGGAAGUGUCAACUGUUUCUAAGUCUGAGUGAAGGUAUUUCAAAAGCACCAACCUGCACAUUUUUCUGGAGUCCAUGGAAGAAUGACAGUCCAAGGCCAUAGACAUCACUGUUGUUAUGAUGCAGAUGAUAGACACCAUCUACUAGUAGAAACCAAACCAAAUGCUUGGGAAUGGAAGCAUUCGUCGGAGUCACAUGCAAUUGGAUGAAAGGCAAAGCAUCCUUUUCCACAAUCCCAUUAAGAAAGGAAAUGGGCGGGGGCGCCUGGGUGGCUCAGUCGGUUGAGCAUCCAACUUACGAUCAGGUCGUGAUCUCACCCCUUGUGAGUUCAGACCCCGCACUGGACUCUGCUGACAGCUCAGAGCCUGGAGCCUGCUUCGGAUUCUGUGUCUCCCUUUCUCACUGCCCCUCCCCCACUCACACUCUGUCUCUCUCUUUCUCAAAAAUAAAUAAACAUUAAAAAAAUUAAAGAAAGGCGAUGGGUGUUCCUCACCUGAGUCAGCAUUUGUCUCAUGAAUGUUCCCUCAAAAUAAAUAAACAAAAGGCAAGAAACAGUGUACACAGUAUACAAGCCCUUUCUCUCUCUCGAUUGUCACGGCAAUGCCCCACCCCCCAAAGCAACUAUUACAAUAGAGGCUCCUUUACAGAGGAGGGAAACAGAGGCUCAGACUGAUCCUGCUGCAGAUCCAGGAGGUAGCCGACCUGGGGUUAAAGGUGUCAUGUGAGGAUACAGCAAGAAAACCAGGAAGAGGGUUUUCACCAGGAUUGAAGUGGCCAGCCUUCAGAACUGAUCUGUCUUUUCAGGAUCAGACUAACUUCUUUCGGAGCACUUCUGUGAGUUUGCACAGUCAUGAAAACACCAAAAUGGCCUAUAAUGGGGAUUGGUUAAAUAAGUAUUUCUAGACCCAUACAACAUAAUAAUAAGCCACCAAAAAACGGAUGGUGAUGUUGGUUUCUACUAAUAGAAAAACGGUUGUUCCUGAUUAAGUGAUGAAAGUCAUUAAACCUGAUGUCUGGUUUAAUCCCACCAAUGUAAAUGUAAUGCUACUAAAUACAUAGUAAAAAUUAUAAGCAUAUAUAAUAUUAGAAGCAAACACCGUGUUUUGUUUUUUUCCUUAUUCUUCUGUGAUUCAUUUUUUAAAGUUUUUUUUUUCAUAUUUAUUUAUUUUGAGAGAUAGAGCACGAGUAGGGGAGGGGCAGAGAGAGAGGAAGAGAGAGAAUCCCAAGCAGGCUCUGAGUGCCAUCAGCACAGAGCCUGAUGUGGGGCUUGAUCUUACAAACUGUGACAUCAUGUCCUGAGCCGAAAUCAAAAGUCUGACGCUUAACUGAGCCACCCAGGUGUCCCUCUGUGAUUCAUAAGGGUGAACUGCAUAAUAAUUUUUUAAGUCACAUGAAACAGAACCUUAAAACAGAAAAAAGACUGAUUCUAGAUGAAAUCUCUAACUGCUGCCCUUGAAGUGAAGGGCACAAGUGACCAGAGUCACUCAAGUAAUGUCAUUGGCUUAGACCUUCCUCCUCUGCAUGUUUCCCCACACGUGAACCCUUGUGCGGAAGGGGGAAGAUGCAGCCAUGCACAGCCAUUUCUCCUCUUGGUUUCUCCUUCUCCUCCCCCUUCUCCUCCUCCUCCCCCUCCUUCUAUUAAUCUAUGAACCUUUCCAUUUUACAGACAAGCCUCACUGGGUAGAAGAAGCGCCAAUAAACUUGCUAAUGGAUAAAUCGAUUUCAGCAGCCAAGAGAAGAGUGUGGUUUGUCACUGUAGCAAGCUUGCAUGCCGUAUUGUGGGGGGAGGGGAGGUUCAGUGAUCUUUUAUCUUAUGCAAAUCCAACCCAAAUGUUAGAUGUAGUUACUCCAAAAUAUUUGAGUGAUAUUAUUCCUUUUGCCUUUGUAUAUAUUUAAACUGACCGCGGAGGAAAAAAAGGAAAACAGCAAAGACAUGACUGUUCGUGGACUGCCUACUAGGUGCUGGGAACCUCAUCUGUCUUUUUUCAUUUACUCCUCACAACAACCCCAUUAAGAGGUUAAGAGUCUCUCUUUACAAACAAGGGAUGCAAAGCUCAGAGAUGCGCAGUAAUUUGCCCAAUGUUACACAGCUAGUUGUGGAGAGGAGCAGGAUUAAAAGUACAAGGCCGCCUGGCUCUACGGACUAUGUGCUUUCAAUUAGUGCUGCUUUGCUCAGUUUUACAAAGGUGAACAGGGCUACCUUCUGAAAUAGCUCACUAACUUUGCAUCCUAGCAAUCUGAAAACCGUUCUAUACUCAGAUUUUAAGAGAGACCAGAGAGACCUUGACCAUUCUGUGGUCCAGUGGCUUCAUUUUGCAAAUGAGAACACUGAGGCUCUAAGAGAGGAAAUGGUUUAAGUCCGUACCAUCCAGUCAGAGAGCUAGGGCUAGAACGCAGGCCUCCUACCUGCUGUUUCCUUCUGCUUGGUCGUGGGAUCCUAUGUUUCUCAGGUCUGCAAAUCAGUCAGGCCCUGUGUGAGAUGUCUGGGAGAUUCUGAGAGUUCAAACUUAGGAAAGAAACAAAGAUGAGUAAGAAAGGUUUUCUGCUCAAGGCACCUGGGUGGUUUAGUCGGUUGAACGUCUGACUCUUAAUUUUAGCUCAGGUCAUGAUCUUACAGUUCGUGGGUUCGAGCCCUGUCAGUGCAGAGCCUGCUUGGGAUUCUCUCUCUUCCCCUCUCUCUGCCCCUUGCCCCCCUCAAAAUAAAUAAAUAAACUUUAAUAUUAAAAAAAAAAGUAAAGUUGUGGUGCCUGGGUGACUCGGUUAAGUGUUUGACUUAGGCUCAGGUCAUGAUCUCAUGGUUCAUGCGUUCCAGCCCCACAUCAGGCUGUCUGCUGCCAUCACAGAGCCUGCUUUGGAUCCUCUGUCUCCCUCUCUCUCUGCCCCUCUCCCCGCCGCCCCACCACACACACACACUCUCUCUCAAAAUAAAUAAAUAAACUUUAAUAUUAAAAACAAAGUUUUCUUCUCUUAAAGAGCCCCAACAGUCAACUACACGGAUAUCCCUGGGAAAUGAACACCAUGCUCAGUGUUACAAUAGACCUUGAUAAGAAAUGCAGUUGCAGGGGAAGGAAUUUUGUUUUUUCUUCCCGUGUGUGUGUGUGUGUGUGUGUGUGUGUUCUAAGUGUUCUUUUGGAUUUUGAGUUGAAUUCUGUUUUGAAUAACAAAAACCAAUUUUUACGAAUGUCCCUAAAUUUUACUCCUUGAGAUAUAAAAGUUGAAUUAUAGCCAGUCAGCUCCUUAGUCCUUUUGCUAAGGUCCAUCAGCCUGAAGAAGCAACUUGGGUUCAUGGGGGGGG